rnacentral:rRNA from 1 species
GACGAACGCUGGCGGCGUGCCUAAUACAUGCAAGUCGAGCGAGACUCUUCGGAGUCUAGCGGCGGACGGGUGAGUAACACGUGGGCAACCUGCCUGUAAGACUGAGAUAACACCGGGAAACCGGUGCUAAUACCGGAUAAUCCUUUUCCUCUCAUGAAGUAAAGCUGAAAGUCGGUUUCGGCUGACACUUACAGAUGGGCCCGCGGCGCAUUAGCUAGUUGGUGAGGUAACGGCUCACCAAGGCGACGAUGCGUAGCCGACCUGAGAGGGUGAUCGGCCACACUGGGACUGAGACACGGCCCAGACUCCUACGGGAGGCAGCAGUAGGGAAUCUUCCACAAUGGACGAAAGUCUGAUGGAGCAACGCCGCGUGAGCGAUGAAGGCCUUCGGGUCGUAAAGCUCUGUUGUUAGGGAAGAACAAGUACCGGAGUAACUGCCGGUACCUUGACGGUACCUAACCAGAAAGCCACGGCUAACUACGCGCCAGCCGCCGCGGUAAAAC